rnacentral:lncRNA from 1 species
GCUGGUUCCGCUGCUGCCCAGAGACGUUGGCCGCACAGAGGCCCUGCUGCGCUUGGAGCUGCGCUGAUGGCAGCUUCCAUCCCCAUCCCAACCUGCUCGUGGAGCUUGGCAUGGAGCACCAGGAACCCAAGGGUUGGGGCCAGCCAAGCUCCUCUGCCCGCAGGCCAGGGCACCCGGGAAAAGGAGAAGAGGAGGAGGAAGAAGAGAGGCCACGCUGCAGGUGGCUGUGCCUCUCUGCUCUUACGGAGGCAGAAGACACACAGCACCCUUCCCGAGACAUAACACAAGUCAGAGGAAAGCAAGAACCUUCCAGAGAUGCAGAGCUCCAUCCCGAAUGCAGCGCACCGCCUUCCUUCCAUUCACAUCCAGCCCAAAAAAAGCAGGAGAGCACCCUCUUGAUUGCUCUGCCCUGGAGCUGCAGCCCUUUCAUGUGGUUCCAAUGCCUCUCCCGCAGCAGUUUGCACUUUCAAAGAACGGCGUGCACGCACACACACACAACACAAUUACUGAAUGGCGUGCAUCCCACUGUGUGUGUUCUGACACUGCUCCUUUUGCCAAGAAGGAAAAAAGCACACGCAUGUAUAUGUACCUAUACACAAAGGCUCUCGAAAAGACACUGCUUGCAUUUUUACAGCUCUGGUGAAGCCUUUUAGAUA